rnacentral:rRNA from 1 species
UAAGGAAUAUUGGUCAAUGGACGAAAGUCUGAACCAGCCAUGCCGCGUGGAGGAUGAAGAUCCUCUGGAUUGUAAACUUCUUUUAUCUGGGACGAAAAAAGGUCUUUCUAGAUCGUCUGACGGUACCAGAUGAAUAAGCACCGGCUAACUCCGUGCCAGCAGCCGCGGUAAUACGGAGGGUGCAAGCGUUAUCCGGAUUCACUGGGUUUAAAGGGUGCGUAGGUGGGUUGGUAAGUCAGUGGUGAAAUCUUCGAGCUUAACUCGGAAACUGCCAUUGAUACUAUCAGUCUUGAAUAUUGUGGAGGUUAGCGGAAUAUGUCAUGUAGCGGUGAAAUGCUUAGAUAUGACAUAGAACACCAAUUGCGAAGGCAGCUGGCUACACAUAUAUUGACACUGAGGCACGAAAGCGUGGGGAUCAAACA